GAAGGUCUCCCACACGUUGCAGCAGCGGGCUGAAGGGCUCCUGAAGCGCGGCCAGAGUGGACGCCGAGGCCAAGGAGGAGCCGAGAGCUAGCAAGGGCUGCUAGCACAUUGUCACCUCUCAGUAUGGGGAGUUCAGAAUUGGGAUUCUUACUGUUGUAAAAUUCUUCCUGCCACUCCAUGUACUGUAAGAAAUACAUCAUCUUGAUACCAAAACCUGUCAGAGACACAACAAGAAAAGAAAAUUUCUGGCCAAUAUCCCUGAUGAACAUCGAUGGGAAAAUCCUCAAUAAAAUACUGGCAAACCAAAUCCAGCAGCACAUCAAAAAGCAUAUCUACCAUGAACAAGUCGGCUUCAUCCCUAGGAUGCAAGGCUGGUUCAACAUAUGCAAAUCAAUAAACAUAAUCCAUCAUAUAAACAGAACCAAUGAAAAAAACCACAUGAUUAUCUCAAUAGGUGCAGAAAAGGCCUUCAAUAAAGUUCAACACCUCUACAUGCUAAAAUCUCUCAAUAAACUAGGUAUUGAUGGAAUGUAUCUCAAAAUAAUAAGAGCUAUUUAUGACAAACCCACAGUCAAUAUCAUACUGAAUGGGCAAAAGCUGGAAGCACUCCCUUUGAAAACGGCAAAAGACAAAGAUGCCAUGUCUCACCACUCCUAUUCAACAUAGUAUUGGAAGUUCUGGCCAGAACAAUCAGGCAAGAGAAAGAAAGAAAAUGUAUUCAGAUAGGAAGAGAGGAAGUCAAAUUGUCUCUGUUUGCAGAUGAUGUGAUUGUAUAUUUAGAAAACCCCAUCGUCUUAGCCCCAAAUCUCCUUAAGCUGAUAAGCGAUUUCAGCAAAGUCUCAGGAUACAAAAUCAAUGUGCAAAAAUCACAAGCAUUCCUAUACACCAGUAAUGGACAGAGAGCCAAAUCAUGAGUGAACUCCUAUUCACAAUUGCUACAAAGAGAAUAAAAUACCUAGGUAUACAACUUACAAGGGAUGUGAAGGACCUCUUCAAGAAGAAUAGAGGCCUCAGAAAUAACACCACAGAUGUACAACCAUCUGAUCUUUGACAAACUGGACAAAAACAAGCAAUGGGGAAUGGAUUCUCUAUUUGAUAAAUGGUGUUGGGAAAACUGGCUAGCCAUGUGCAAAAAACUGAAACUGGACUCCUUCCUUAUACCCUAUACAAAAAUUAACUCAAGGUAGAUUAAAUACUUAAACAUAAGACCUAAGACCAUAAAAACCCUAGAAGAAAACCUAGGCAAUACCAUUCAGGAUAUAGGCAUAGGCAAAGUCUUCAUGACUAAAACACCAAAAGCAAUGGCAACAAAAGCCAAAAG
ensembl:lncRNA novel transcript